ACGAAGGAUACAGGAGAGAGCCUUGCUAAAAGGCCGCCGAAGGGACAAACUUUUGAAGCCCUGCUUAGAUUCAAGAGUGAAAUUCUCAGGCAAAAGGAUCGUAUCCAGACA
rnacentral:ncRNA from 2 species